GCUAAUACUAGUCCAAAAAACCAAAAACAGUAUUAUCAAAUCAAUAUAAAUUAAAACAUUUAUACAUAUAAAAGUAUAGGCGAUAGAAAGUUUAUUUUGGCACUAUAGAUAUAGUACCGCAAGGGAAAGAUGAAAAAAAAAGAUCAAGCACAAAAUAGCAAGGAUUUAACCCUGUACCUUCUGCAUAAUGAGCUAGCUAGAAUUUAUUUAACAAAAAGAACUAAAGCCAAAAACCCCGAAACCAGACGAGCUACCCAAGACCAGCUGAAAGAGCGCACCCGUCUAUGUAGCAAAAUAGUGGGAAGAUUCCUGGGUAGAGGUGAUAGGCCUACCGAGCCUGGUGAUAGCUGGUUAUCCAAGAUAGAAUUUUAGUUCAACCUUAAGUUUACCCACAGAAUUAUAAAUCUCCCUGUAAACUUAAUUGUUAUUCUAAAGAGGGACAGCUCUUUAGACACUAGGAAAAAACCUUACACAGAGAGUAAAAAAAUUAAACUCCAUAGUUGGCCCAAAAGCAGCCAUCAAUUAAGAAAGCGUUCAAGCUCAACAUUAUUUAUCCAAAAAAUCCCAAACAGAACAAUGAACUCCUCAUAUCACAUUGGAUUAAUCUAUAUUUUAAUAGAAGUAAUAAUGCUAGCAUCAGUAACAUGAAUAUUUUCUCCCAUGCAUAAGCCUAAGUCAGAUCGAAAUCUUCACUGACAUUUAACAGCCUAAUACUAAUAAACACAACCGAGCUAGUAUUAUAUAUACUGUUAACCCGACACAGGCGUGCUCUAAGGAAAGGUUAAAAAAAGUAAAAGGAACUCGGCAAAUCUAACCCCGCCUGUUUACCAAAAACAUCACCUCUAGCAUUAUUAAUAUUAGAGGCACUGCCUGCCCAGUGACACAUGUUUAACGGCCGCGGUACCCUGACCGUGCAAAGGUAGCAUAAUCACUUGUUCUUUAAAUAGGGACUCGCAUGAAUGGCAACACGAGGGUUCAACUGUCUCUUACUUUUAACCGGUGAAAUUGACCCGUCCGUGAAGAGGCGGACAUAUUAUAAUAAGACGAGAAGACCCUAUGGAGCUUCAAUUUAUUAUGCAAUCAGUAAUCAAUAUAAAUCCACGGGUUUAACCUCCUACUUCCCCUGCAUUAAAAAUUUUGGUUGGGGUGACCUCGGAGCAUAAUUAAACCUCCGAAUAGUCCAUGCCAAGACUACACAAGUCAAAGCUAAUCAGUAUCUACAAUUGAUCCAACAACUUGAUCAACGGAACAAGUUACCCUAGGGAUAACAGCGCAAUCCUAUUCCAGAGUCCAUAUCGACAAUAGGGUUUACGACCUCGAUGUUGGAUCAGGACAUCCUAAUGGUGCAGCAGCUAUCAAGGGUUCGUUUGUUCAACGAUUAAAGUCCUACGUGAUCUGAGUUCAGACCGGAGCAAUCCAGGUCGGUUUCUAUCUAUUUUAUAUUUCUCCCUGUACGAAAGGACAAGAGAAAUGGGGCCUACUUCACAAAGCGCCCUCCCCUCAUAAAUGACCUAAUCUCAAUUUAACACAAGCUUAUAUGUAUACAGCCCAAGAACAGGGCUU
rnacentral:rRNA from 1 species